rnacentral:sRNA from 1 species
GUCGCGUGGCGCAGAAAAACAGGCCAUGUAAAGUGACGCUUGACGCUAUGCGAUAUCGUCCGAUAUCCGACGU